UUUUUUCUUCUUCUUUAAAU
rnacentral:sRNA from 1 species